AUUGAACGCUGGCGGCAUGCCUUACACAUGCAAGUCGAACGGCAGCACGGGGGCAACCCUGGUGGCGAGUGGCGAACGGGUGAGUAAUAUAUCGGAACGUGCCCUGGAGUGGGGGAUAACUAGUCGAAAGACUAGCUAAUACCGCAUACGAUCUACGGAUGAAAGUGGGGGAUCGCAAGACCUCAUGCUCGUGGAGCGGCCGAUAUCUGAUUAGCUAGUUGGUGGGGUAAAAGCCUACCAAGGCAUCGAUCAGUAGCUGGUCUGAGAGGACGACCAGCCACACUGGGACUGAGACACGGCCCAGACUCCUACGGGAGGCAGCAGUGGGGAAUUUUGGACAAUGGGGGCAACCCUGAUCCAGCAAUGCCGCGUGAGUGAAGAAGGCCUUCGGGUUGUAAAGCUCUUUUGUCAGGGAAGAAACGGUCUGGGCUAAUACCCUGGGCUAAUGACGGUACCUGAAGAAUAAGCACCGGCUAACUACGUGCCGGCAGCCGCGGUAAUACGUAGGGUGCAAGCGUUAAUCGGAAUUACUGGGCGUAAAGCGUGCGCAGGCGGUUGUGCAAGACAGAUGUGAAAUCCCCGGGCUUAACCUGGGAAUUGCAUUUGUGACUGCACGGCUAGAGUGUGUCAGAGGGGGGUAGAAUUCCACGUGUAGCAGUGAAAUGCGUAGAGAUGUGGAGGAAUACCGAUGGCGAAGGCAGCCCCCUGGGAUAACACUGACGCUCAUGCACGAAAGCGUGGGGAGCAAACAGG
rnacentral:rRNA from 1 species